rnacentral:rRNA from 1 species
UACAGAGGGUGCGAGCGUUGUCCGGAAUCAUUGGGCGUAAAGAGCGUGUAGGCGGCUCGAUAAGUCUGCUGUGAAAGUCCAGGGCUCAACCCUGGAAGGCCGGUGGAAACUGUCGGGCUAGAGUCCGGAAGAGGCGAGUGGAAUUCCCGGUGUAGCGGUGAAAUGCGCAGAUAUCGGGAGGAACACCAAUGGCGAAGGCAGCUCGCUGGGACGGUACUGACGCUGAGACGCGAAAGCGUGGGGAGCAAACAGG